rnacentral:rRNA from 1 species
AUUGAACGCUGGCGGCAUGCCUUACACAUGCAAGUCGAACGGCAGCACGGGAGCAAUCCUGGUGGCGAGUGGCGAACGGGUGAGUAAUAUAUCGGAACGUGCCCAGUCGUGGGGGAUCACGUAGCGAAAGCUACGCUAAUACCGCAUACGAUCUAUGGAUGAAAGCGGGGGAUCGCAAGACCUCGCGCGAUUGGAGCGGCCGAUAUCAGAUUAGCUAGUUGGUGGGGUAAAGGCUCACCAAGGCGGCGAUCUGUAGCUGGUCUGAGAGGACGACCAGCCACACUGGAACUGAGACACGGUCCAGACUCCUACGGGAGGCAGCAGUGGGGAAUUUUGGACAAUGGGCGCAAGCCUGAUCCAGCAAUGCCGCGUGUAGGAUGAAGGCCUUCGGGUUGUAAACUGCUUUUGUACGGAACGAAACGGCUCCUUCUAAUACAAGGGGCUAAUGACGGUACCGUAAGAAUAAGCACCGGCUAACUACGUGCCAGCCGCCGCCGUAAGAC